UACGUAGGGUCCGAGCGUUGUCCGGAAUUACUGGGCGUAAAGAGCUCGUAGGUGGUUUGUCGCGUUGUUCGUGAAAACUCACAGCUCAACUGUGGGCGUGCGGGCGAUACGGGCAGACUAGAGUAUGCAGGGGAGACUGGAAUUCCUGGUGUAGCGGUGGAAUGCGCAGAUAUCAGGAGGAACACCGGUGGCGAAGGCGGGUCUCUGGGCAGUAACUGACGCUGGAGGAGCGAAAAGCGUGGGGAG
rnacentral:rRNA from 1 species